rnacentral:rRNA from 1 species
UGGAUGAUGUGGAUUAAUUCGAUGCAACGCGAAAAACCUUACUACCCUUGACAUGUCCGGAAUCCUGCAGAGAUGCGGGAGUGCCCGAAAGGGAAUCGGAACACAGGUGCUGCAUGGCUGUCGUCAGCUCGUGUCGUGAGAUGUUGGGUUAAGUCCCGCAACGAGCGCAACCCUUAUCAUUAGUUGCUACGCAAGGGCACUCUAAUGAGACUGCCGGUGACAAACCGGAGGAAGGUGGGGAUGACGUCAAGUCCUCAUGGCCCUUAUGGGUAGGGCUUCACACGUCAUACAAUGGUCGGUACAGAGGGUUGCCAAGCCGCGAGGGGGAGUCAAUCCCAUAAAGCCAGUCGUAGUCCGGAUCGUAGUCUGCAACUCGACUACGUGAAGUCGGAAUCGCUAGUAAUCGUGGAUCAGAAUGUCACGGUGAAUACGUUCCCGGGUCUU